AAAGUCGUAACAAGGUUUCCGUAGGUGAACCUGCGGAAGGAUCAUUAAUACGUUUUCUAAACAAAACGUUUUAAACACCAAAAUUUGAUCGUGGAAAAUUAACUUCCGGAUGCAUUUGUAGGGAGGUUCAAAAACUGACUUCUUGAAAAAGGGACUUCAAAGUCGCAAGAUUUUGACACUUCAGAGUAGAGCAGUGAGGUGAAAACUCAUUUAUGAGUUUUGGUUCUGAAAUACAUCUGUAUCCGGUUAUUCUCUGUUCUACAUCUUUUAAUUAUCAAACAAUAAACCCCAUGUACAACAACUUGAACUAAACAAUUUUGUUUUCUCACUCGAGAAGAUGAAGUAAAAUCUGAACUUAAGAACAACUCUUAACAACGGAUAUCUUGGUUCUC
rnacentral:misc_RNA from 1 species